UCACAAUCGAUUGGACUAAAA
rnacentral:miRNA from 1 species